UACGGAAGGCAGCAGUGGGGAAUAUUGCACAAUGGGCGCAAGCCUGAUGCAGCCAUGCCGCGUGUAUGAAGAAGGCCUUCGGGUUGUAAAGUACUUUCAGUCGUGAGGAAGGUGUUAAGGUUAAUAACCUUAGCAAUUGACGUUAGCGACAGAAGAAGCACCGGCUAACUCCGUGCCAGCAGCCGCGGUAAUACGGAGGGUGCGAGCGUUAAUCGGAAUUACUGGGCGUAAAGGGCACGCAGGCGGUUAAUUAAGUUGGAUGUGAAAUCCCCGGGCUUAACCUGGGAAUGGCAUUCAAGACUGGUUAGCUAGAGUCUUGUAGAGGGGGUAGAAUUCCAUGUGUAGCGGUGAAAUGCGUAGAGAUGUGGAGGAAUACCGGGUGGCGAAGGCGGCCCCUGGGACAAAGGACUGACGCUCAUGUGCGAAAGCGUGGGGAGCGAAACAGGAUUAGAUACC
rnacentral:rRNA from 1 species